rnacentral:misc_RNA from 1 species
AGAAUGGGCAAUUUGAACUUUGGGGAAAAGGUUCAGCCAUAACUUUGUCCGUUAGAGGAGAAUAGUCUCCUACACCGAAGUCUUCCUUAGGGUUGAAGUUAUUCUGGAAUUUUGGCAGGUUUUUAAUUUUAUCCCAAUCAAUACCUCCUCUUGUGGAAUUGGCCUCAUAAUCUCCUACUUUAUUUUUGCCUUUUGAUUGUUACAGUUUUUGUGGAUUUGGAAUGGCACUGUUCUCAAGGGCUCUCAAACUUUCUAGCUGGGCAUUAUGGUUUUUUAUUCUAGUGUUUUCUGCUUCCAGUUCUUUGAUGCAUUGUGUCAGCUAUUAUAGAGUCAUGGGAGGUUGAGAGGGGUAACUUCCACGAUAUUGGCACCAUUGGUGGUGCCAUUAUUGUUAAGAGGGUCAGUUAGGAUAGGUUGUGGUUUCAUGGAUGAAGGA